UGGUUGUGUACACCACUUAGAGAGUUUUCUGAUUAAGCAGUGUAUAAAUCUUUCUAGAUAAAAGUAGAAUAAAUAAAAAUUGCAUGCUUAGGAGAAUUGCCCCUCCCCCAUACAUAUGGCCAUGUCACGCCCACUGCCAUAGAUGGAACAAAGCUGGGAACGUCAACUGGUCCAAAAUGCAGCGACCAGAUAGGGUUCCAUUUAGAACUCAUAUAACCCAUAUUUUAGCACAGCAGCAUUGGUUGCCAGUUCAUUUCCGGGCCCAAUUCAAGGUGUCCACACUAGUCUUUAAAGCCCUUGAGAUCAGAGAGAGAGGGCUUUUUGGGUAGUUCUGCCGCCUUCAGAAGUUUGGGGGGAUGGUGGUGGCCUGGGAGAGGGCCUUCUCUGUGGCAGCCCCUAAGUUGUGGAACUCCUUGCUCACAGAGGUGUGCCUGGCACCUUCAUUAUACAGUUUUCAGCGAAUGUGGAAGAUACACUUCUUCAUCCUGGCUUGUAACACCUGAGAUGUAUAUUUUUGGUGAUGUGGUUUUAGGUUGUUUUUAACUGUUUUUAAUGAUUUAAAACUGUUGUUAUCUGCUCUGGGACUUUUAAAUAAUUUAAUACAUUUUAAUAAUUAGAAUAAUAAGCACUCAUAAUAAUCUGAGCUGUGUAUGGCUGUACAGUUAAAUUUAGCAUUGAAAAUAAGGAGAAAAGCACAUCAGUGAUCUCAAGUCUGAUUCUCAAGCGGUUGUCCAGGACACUGAGACCAAGUUAAUCUUGUGUCCUUCUAAGUCCAGGACCUUCUCCUCUGGCUGGCAGCUGCUUGUGAAGGACUCAGGAAGAGAGCAGCCAGUCAUGCCACUGGCUACCUGAGAUUCUCCUCUACUAAGUGGUGGCCUUCAAACAGCAGAGGUGCCCACCCUGUUAAGCCACUCCCAACACAACUUCCCUCAGCUCCGCCUACCCAAGCUCCUCCUUCCUUCUCCAUUCUUUCUCUGCCUCCAGAAGUCCUCCGAUCAGCCAUGAUAGGUAAAUGGAGCCUCCAUGUUCAGGCAGUCUACCUCUGGUUAUUGGGAACAAACUACAGGGAAAUGUUCUUGCUCUCAUGCCUUGCUUGUGGGCUUCCCAGAGGCAUUUGGCUGGCUCGUGUGACAAACAGGAUAUUGGGCUCAGUGGAAACAAAUGACUUAGCCAAUGAAGCAAACAGAGUGCAAGGCAAUGGCGGGAUCUGAACCUCAACCCCCUGUGAGGCCCUCCUGGAGAAGGGACACCUUAAAGGCUUCAGAGGCCAUGAUCUCCAAGGGGGGAAUAUGCUCAAAUCAAGCCAAACCAAGCAAGCCAAGUGCUGCUACUCACAAUGUGUUGAGUUUUCACCGCAGAUACAGGAUCAGGCCCCCAACUCUCCCUGCCCUCCCUGCGGUACCAUCACCGCUCCCUAGCUGGUGCACCCCAGUAGCCCCUUUGGUGUUUGGGGUGUGUCAGGUCCAGGGCUCUGCUGCUGGCCUCUUCGCAAGAUAGGACACCUGAGGACACCUCCUCCCAAAUCUGAGGCUGGAUUCAUACAACAGGUGCACUAGGAGAGCACACUGCUCAGGCACAAUGUCUCUACAACUUGGCAACUGCUCACGGCCAGCUGAAAAACUAUGACGUGGCAGAAUUUUACUACCAGCAGGCACUGGAAGCUUUUGUGGCAGCAGGUGACUCAUAUGGCGAGGCGCUGGUCUGCGAACAGCUGGGCACAUCACAUCUCUGCCAGGACCGCUUUGAUCAGGCCACCCAUUACUACAAACAAGCCCUGGGUCUGUUUGAAAAGUCAAAGGAAACAUCUGUAAUCCCCCGAGAAUGAAUUUUGGAGAAACUAGCCAAUGUUGCUAAGUAUCAAACUAACAACCAGGAUCAUAUUUCUCAAGACGAUGGAUUUGCAGAUUCAUCAACAGAUAUACCCAUGUAAUGAGGAUAUCGAGCCGUCCACGUCGUUCAUCGGAAUUUCUGGUGUAUUUUUUGUCUCUAGUUGAUGACACAUGGAAAUCCUCAGAUUAAAAUGUAAAU